rnacentral:rRNA from 1 species
AACCCCGACGCGCUCAAUUCAGUAGCACUAAAGGGUGUGGGCGCGUGGCGGACGAGUGCGUAACACGUGGAUAACCUUCCUUGAGGUGGGGAAUAACCCAGUGAAAAUUGGGCUAAUACCGCAUAACAUCGCGAUGGCACAUGCUGCUGCGAUCAAAGGCGCAAGUCGCCAUAAGAGGGAUCCGCGGCCGAUUAGCUUGUUGGCGAGGUAAUGGCUCACCAAGGCAAUGAUCGGUAGCCGGACUGAGAGGUUGGCCGGCCACACUGGAACUGAGACACGGUCCAGACUCCUACGGGAGGCAGCAGUGGGGAAUCUUGCACAAUGGACGAAAGUCUGAUGCAGCAACGCCGCGUGGGGGAUGAAGCUUCUCGGAGUGUAAACCCCUUUCGACCCGGAAGAAUGCCCGCAAGGGUAUGACGGUACGGGUAUAAGAAGCCCCGGCUAACUACGUGCCAGCAGCCGCGGUAAUACGUAGGGGGCCAGCGUUGCUCGGAAUUACUGGGCGUAAAGGGUCCGUAGGCGGUGUAGCAAGUCGAUAGUGAAAUCUCUGGGCUUAACCCAGAGGCUGCUAACGAAACUGCUGUGCUAGAGUGUGAGAGAGGCGAGUGGAAUUACGGGUGUAGCGGUGAAAUGCGUAGAUAUCCGUAGGAACAUCCGAGGCGAAGGCGGCUCGCUGGAUCACAACUGACGCUGAGGGACGAAAGCUAGGGGAGCAAACAGGAUUAGAUACCCUGGUAGUCCUAGCCCUAAACCAUCAGGACUUGGGGUUUGCCCUGUACGGGGCAAGUCCCGUAGCUAACGCGUUAAGUCCUGCGCCUGGGGAGUACGGUCGCAAGGCUGAAACUCAAAGGAAUUGACGGGGGCCCCGCACAAAGCGGUGGAACAUGUGGUUCAAUUCGACGCAACGC